GUGGGGAAUAUUGCACAAUGGGCGCAAGCCUGAUGCAGCAACGCCGUGUGAGUGAUGAAGGCCUUCGGGUCGUAAAACUCUGUCCUAUGGGAAGAAAACAAUGACGGUACCAUAGGAGGAAGCCCCGGCUAACUACGUGCCAGCAGCCGCGGUAAUACGUAGGGGGCAAGCGUUAUCCGGAAUCACUGGGCGUAAAGGGUGCGUAGGUGGCUUAUCAAGCCAGGGGUGAAAGGCAUUGGCUCAACCAAUGUAAGCCUUUGGAACUGAUAAGCUUGAGUGCAGGAGAGGUAAGUGGAAUUCCUAGUGUAGAGGUGAAAUUCGUAGAUAUUAGGAGGAACACCAGUGGCGAAGGCGACUUACUGGACUGUAACUGACACUGAGGCACGAAAGCGUGGGGAGCGAACAGGAUUAGAAACCCUAGUAGUCC
rnacentral:rRNA from 1 species